rnacentral:lncRNA from 1 species
UCUUUUUGGGCUUCUACCAUUGUCGCCAAGUAGGCCACACAACCACCUUUUAUCAUUUUCCUCGCCCGUGCCGCCGACACGGUCGCCGCGAAAAGCGAGCUUUUAGCUGCCUGAUACACUAGCUCCUCUCGAUCAGGUUCGCGGAACGUGAUCACCUUACUUUCACAAUCUAUCACGGCAUAAUACUUGGAGAGCCAGUUGGUCCCCAAGAUCACGUCGAAGCCCCACAUUCGGUUUAGCAC